CACGAAAAAACAUGUAUAUGAAGAUUAGAUUGGGUGUUAGUACUUGUUAGCAGCCACAUAUGAUAAGGCAAAUGUAAUGGCUACUUCUCCCCUCACGCUGCAACUGCAACUGCAACAAUCUCUUUCUUUCUCUCAUUCUCUCAUACCCAAGCUUUUUGCACUCUCAAAUUUUGGUUAUGAAUCCUUCCCUUCAAUCACCACCAUCAAUUUCAACCCAAGAAAACAACCUUCAAUCCAAUGUUCUUCACGCAACCCCCCACUUGACACAGCAACCAAAAACUCGGUAAGAAGGUUUUCCAAGAAAACCUCUUCUUCUUCUUCAUCUCAUACUGACAAAAAGGUUUCCUUUGAAUCAAAAUCAGUUAACAGUACCAGUUACACUGUUGUUGAGAAAAAGAAGAAAAAUGAAAACGAGAAUAAAAAUGAGUUCGAGAAGAAGAAGAAGAUUAAGGACACCCCCCCACAAGCUAAAUUGCGGGUUUCUUUGGAUCAGUGUUCUAAAAGAGGGGAUUUAAAGGGAGCUUUAUCCUUAUUUGAUUCAGCAAUUUCCCAAGGUGUAAAAUUGGGGCAGCACCAUUAUACUGUUCUUUUGUAUCUCUGUUCUUCUGCAGCUAUUGGUGGUCUUCGACCUGCGAAAAGUGGAAGUGGUACUAGAACUUUGAAUGCACAGGUCUCAUCUAAUAAUUUAAAUGGAUCAGUAGAUAGAAAUGAUGAUGAUGAUGAAAGAUUUUGUAGUGAUAGUGAUGAUAAUAAAUUGUUAGAUAAUUCAGUCUCUGUUUCACAUAGUGAUGAUAGUGACAUGAAUGAUAAGGACAGGGAUAAGAGGAAUGGGAUAAUGGUGAGUGAGGUUGUUAAGGAAUAUGCACUACAAAGAGGAUUUGAAGUGUAUGAGAAUAUGCGUAUGAGUAAGGUUGAAAUGAAUGAAGCAGCAUUGACAUCUGUGGCUAGAAUGGCCAUGGCAUUGAGUGAUGGUGACAAGGCUUUUGAGAUGGUUAAACAAAUGAAGAUUUUAGGGAUAAAUCCUAGGUUAAGGUCUUAUGGUCCUGCUCUAUCUACUUAUUGUAAUAAUGGAGAAAUAGAUAAAGCAUUUGAUGUUGAAAAGCACAUGUUGGAACAUGGUGUGUACCCUGAAGAGCCUGAGUUGGAGGCACUUUUGAGAGUAAGCAUAAGAGGUGGUAAGAGUGAUAGGGUCUAUUAUGUGUUGCAUAAACUACGCAGUAGUGUGAGGAAAGUUUCAACCACGACUGCAGAUUUGAUUGUUGAUUGGUUUAAGAGCAAAAUCGCUUUAAAAGUGGGAAAAAGAAAAUGGGAUAAUGGAUUGAUAAUGAAAGCAAUGCAAAAUAACGGUGGAGGAUGGCAUGGGACCGGUUGGUUGGGUAAGGGGAAAUGGCAAGUUCUUCAAACCAGUGUAAGAAAGGAUGGAAUGUGUAAAUGCUGUGGAGUGCAACUGGCUACUAUUGAUCUUGAUCCUGUUGAAACUGAGAAUUUUGCGAAGUCAGUUGCAUCCAUUGCUAUAAGUAAUGAGAAAAAUUCAAACUUCCAGACAUUUCAAAAAUGGCUUGACUACUAUGGACCUUUUGAAGCAGUGAUAGAUGCUGCAAAUGUAGGUCUUUACAGCCAAGGGAAGUUCAUGCCAUCCAAGAUCAAUGCUGUUGUCAAUGAAUUGCGCCAAAAACUCCCUUCAAAGAAGUUUCCACUUAUUGUUUUGCAUCAUAGGCGUAUCAAAGGAGACAAAAGGGAUGUACCAAUCAACAAGGCAUUGGUUGAUAGGUGGAAUAAUGCUAAUGUACUCUAUGCAACACCCACAGGAUCAAAUGAUGAUUGGUACUGGUUGUAUGCAGCUAUAAAAUUCAAAUGCUUACUCGUUUCCAAUGAUGAGAUGAGAGAUCAUUUGUUUCAACUUCUGGGAAAUGACUUCUUCCCCAAGUGGAAAGAAAGGCAUCAGGUACGAUUCGGUUUCUCUGAUGCUGGUCUUGAGUUUUACAUGCCGCCUCCUUGUUCUGUUGUUAUUCAGGAAUCAGAAGAAGGCCACUGGCAUAUUCCAAUUGAAGCAGAACUUAAUGAUGAAGCAGAAAGAAGAUGGCUGUGCAUCACACGUGCUAAAUUGGACAUGGUUAGUGGAGACUCUUCAACAACAUCCAAAGAUGAGAAACCUCUGCAGAAUGGGGAACAGGCAAAAUCAGUUACUAGAAAAGAGUCUGCAAAGGAGUUGCAAUAUCAGAAUCUUGUCAAUCACAAAAAAAUGAUCGGAACUCCCCAAGAAUCGUACAAAAAUCACAGAAAAUAACUCAAUAUUAUCCGAACUUGAGGCUGCAGAGUUGAUUAGUGGUUGUAGCAUUGAUAUUCAGUUAUACAAAUGACCAACCUGAUGCUUUCAUAUGGAAUGAGGAGAGGAACGGUUUGUGCAUUGUGCGUUCCGGUUAUAGAUUUAUUAUGCGGAGGUCUUUGAAGGAAGAGAGGUGUCUUAUACCGGGAGAUUGGGGUAGUUUGUGGAGAGCUCAAGUACCUUCUAAAGUGCGUAAUUUAAUAUGGAGAAUUUGUAGGCUGUGCUCACCAACACAGAGACAAACUUCAGGAUCGUCAUGUUCCUUGCCUGAAAAACUGUGAAUUAUGUGAUAUAUCUGUCGAAACUGAGAUGCAUCUGAUCUUUGAAUGUCAGACUAGUAUUGAAUGUUGGACUGGUGCAUGACUGCUUUCAACGGUUCAGUCGCGUUUAUCUCGUUUUAAUUAAGUGGGAGAGGUUCUGUUGGAUGUCUGUGUGCGUGAAUCUAAGGUAAUUGUUUGUAGAGUCUUGACGAUGGUGUGAGGGAUUUGGCAUAAUAGAAAUGAUUGGAUUUGGAACCACAAAAGAUCAAGUGGCAAUCAAAUUCCGUGUUUGGUAAGUUUACUGUAGUCUGAAUGGCAGGGUGUUUGCGCAGUGUGCGAUCUAAAGCGAUAAAAAACAACCAAACAACAGCAGAAGCUGGAACAACAGUGGACAGAACAGACAGCUGCAGUGUUGACACAAGUUUUUUUCACGGGCAGAACCCAACAUGUUCGGUUGUUGCAUACGCGGAACAGAAGGUCAGUCUGUUCGAGCAUUGAUAGGGUGGUAUUCACAUAACUUGCUGGUGUAUGAGGGAGAAACAUUGGCUAUGUUGAAUGUCAUGAACUGGGUGCAAGAAUUGGGACUACAAAGUGUGAAGUUCUAAGUGACUUACAAGUCCUCGUAGAUGCUGUUUGUGAUAGCAGUGAUGGUGCAUCAGAGUUCAAUGUCAUUGUUAUCAAUAUUAGACAUAUUUUAGUCUCGAAUUGUAACUUUGAGGUUAAGUUUAUUCAAAGACAAGCAGAUAUAGUAGUUCAUAAUCUAACUAGAGCCAUUUUCUA